AGUUCAGACUCGUAGCAGAUAGCUCAGUAACACGUGGCCAAACUACCCUAUGGAUCCGAAUAACCUCGGGAAACUGAGGCUAAUAUGGAAUAGCGUUCAUCGCCUGGAGUGGCACGAACGCGAAACGUUACGGCGCCAUAGGAUGUGGCUGCGGCCGAUUAGGUAGACGGUGGGGUAACGGCCCACCGUGCCCAUAAUCGGUACGGGUUGUGAGAGCAAGAGCCCGGAGACGGUAUCUGAGACAAGAUACCGGGCCCUACGGGGCGCAGCAGGCGCGAAACCUUUACACUGCACGCGAGUGCGAUAAGGGGACUCCGAGUGCGAGGGCAUAUAGUCCUCGCUUUUCACGACCGUAAGGUGGUCGUAGAAUAAGUGCUGGGCAAGACCGGUGCCAGCCGCCGCGGUAAUACCGGCAGCACGAGUGAUGACCGCUAUUAUUGGGCCUAAAGCGUCCGUAGCUGGCCACGCAAGUCUAUCGGGAAAUCCGCGCGCUUAACGCGCGGGCGUCCGGUGGAAACUGCGUGGCUUGGGACCGGAAGACCAGAGGGGUACGUCCGGGGUAAGAGUGAAAUCCCGUAAUUCUGGACGGACCACCGGUGGCGAAAGCGCCUCUGGAAGACGGAUCCGACGGUGAGGGACGAAA
rnacentral:rRNA from 1 species